AUUGAACGCUGGCGGCAUGCCUUACACAUGCAAGUCGAACGGCAGCACGGGCUUCGGCCUGGUGGCGAGUGGCGAACGGGUGAGUAAUACAUCGGAACGUGCCCUGUCGUGGGGGAUAACUAGUCGAAAGAUUAGCUAAUACCGCAUACGACCUGAGGGUGAAAGCGGGGGACCGGUAACGGCCUCGCGCGAUAGGAGCGGCCGAUGUCUGAUUAGCUAGUUGGUGGGGUAAGAGCCUACCAAGGCGACGAUCAGUAGCUGGUCUGAGAGGACGAUCAGCCACACUGGGACUGAGACACGGCCCAGACUCCUACGGGAGGCAGCAGUGGGGAAUUUUGGACAAUGGGGGCAACCCUGAUCCAGCAAUGCCGCGUGUGUGAAGAAGGCCUUCGGGUUGUAAAGCACUUUUGUCCGGAAAGAAAUCGCGCUGGUUAAUACCUGGCGUGGAUGACGGUACCGGAAGAAUAAGCACCGGCUAACUACGUGCCAGCCGCCGCGGUAAAAC
rnacentral:rRNA from 1 species